CCUGGCGGCCGUAGCGCGGUGGUCCCACCUGACCCCAUGCCGAACUCAGAAGUGAAACGCCGUAGCGCCGAUGGUAGUGCGGGGUCUCCCCAUGCGAGAGUAGGGAACUGCCAGGC
rnacentral:rRNA from 1 species